CUUGUAUCCCUCCGUCCGAAAAUAUUUGUCAUCGAAAUGGAUGUAUCUAGAUGUAUUUUAGUUCUAGACACAUCCACUUUGAUGAAAAGUAAUUCCGGACGGACGGAUUACUUG
rnacentral:pre_miRNA from 1 species